GCCAGCGUGGUGUAGUGGUCUGAAAGCUGGACUGUGACUCUGGAGACAAGGGUUCGAAUCCCGGCUCAGCUG